rnacentral:misc_RNA from 1 species
GGUAAGACGCUGUUUGUGUUGGUAAUGCAGGAGUUUGACUUUAUUUAACUUUAUUUUGGAUGGCAACAAGGCCGGAUAUAGAUGAUGACGAUUUUAGUGAAAUUUACAAGGAAUACACUGGCCCUCCAGGAUCUGUUGCCAAUAAUGCGCAAGAUAGCUCAAAAGCAAAUAAGAGGUCCCAUGCAGGCUCUGAUGAGGAAGAGGAACCUCGGGA